GAUAACCACCCUCCGGUGCUUUCUCUUUCUGGGGCUCUACCGACUGCUGAGACUUCCCCUAAGCAACCUUUGUGAAGGCUUCCUUUUGUUUGUUUAUUUUGACUCAUGUAUAUGUACAUAUUUGUGGCUUAUCGAAAAAUAUUAAUAAAUAAGCUUUGCUUCAUUUCAACAUAUUGUGUUAAAUACACCAAAGCCUUCUUCAUAAAGUUCUUUGAAUUUUUUGCUUUUGUUGAAACCUGUAUUGUUGAAGCUUUGUGAGUGAAGCAUGUAGUUUGAGGUAGUGUUCCCUUAAUUUCCCGAGUGAGGAAAACUUCUCGGUUGGAGACUUGAAAAAUCCAAGUCACUGAGUGGUUGUGAGACUGCCGAGUGUCAAGGUGCAGUAGCAUAUGGUGGGAGUCCCCCAAGUCUUCAGGCGAAGAGAGUUGCCGAAUGAGGUGUCUAGCUAGUAGUCAAUGUCAUGAGUAGGAAAACUUCACUUGUUUCUUUUCGAAGUGGUAACCCAGGGCUCGUUCUUCAUAUAUUGUUUUUUUUGUUAUGAAGAUGUGUUUAGGCCCAAAGAAGUGGAGGCCUAGGCCCUUUUUUUUUUUUUUUUUUUCUUUGUCGACUGAGUGGGAUGUUUUCAGCUGAAUCCAAAUAGGGGGAUGUUUUCAGCCGAAUCCAAGGAGGGGGGAAAGCAUGACUCAUCAUCAUUUGUCAUGAUGUUGUUCCCACACUUCAUCAUCAUGUACUACUUUUCCUUUUCUUCUUUCAUAAUAUGCCAUCAAUGUGUUUAAUUUUCUUUUGCUUUGCCUUUCCUUUUUGGCUGGAAAGAUUGCCAUCUUUCCUCACAAUCGGAUUUGCUGCAGUCUUGUUGAAGGAAAUGUGGGUGUUGGAGCUAGGUAAACCAAGGAGGGUGUCUACGUAGAGGGAGUGGUAGCUCUUCAAUAUAACACCAUUUUCUGUGGCUCAAAUCGCAAAACCAUCUUCAUGAAAGUUGUUCCUUAGCUCGUGAACUACAACAUAUCCGAAUUGGAGAUCCAUCGGAGCAGUACAACUCCAGAAAUUCAGGUAUGAUGAGUGAUUGUUCGUCAUUUGUAUAUCAACGCGUCAGACUUGUUGUGAGCUUCAAAAACUCCAUUUUCUCUUGCUCAGAUCAACAUACUUUCUUCAUCGAAGUUGUUCCUUAACUUGUGAACUACAACAUAUCCAAAAUUGAGAUCCCUCGGAGCUGUAUAACUCAAGAAAU
rnacentral:lncRNA from 1 species